rnacentral:rRNA from 1 species
UACGUAGGGCGCAAGCGUUGUCCGGAAUUAUUGGGCGUAAAGGGCUCGUAGGCGGUUUGUCGCGUCGGGAGUGAAAACCAGGUGCUUAACACCUGGCUUGCUUUCGAUACGGGCAGACUAGAGGUAUGCAGGGGAGACUGGAAUUCCUGGUGUAGCGGUGAAAUGCGCAGAUAUCAGGAGGAACACCGGUGGCGAAGGCGGUUCUCUGGGAAUAUCCUGACGCUGAGGAGCGAAAGUGUGGGGAGCGAACAGG